UGUUGUUCGAGAAGACUUUACUUCAACGAAGAAGAUGGACAGGAAGCCGUAGCUGUUGAUUAUUUCCGACAGCACAAGGCGACAGUUGAGUGGGUUGUAGCACUGGGAACGCGUAGUGCCUGGCGGUGAGGUUCGUCCCACUAGGCGAUAUCUACAGAAACAUGAACUUCUGAGGUGCGUUGCGUCUGACGGCAAGAGGCUUCCGCCAGGCGGUCUUUAACUCAUUUUCGCCUUGCAGUGCUUAGGUAGCGCCAAGCGAUAACACGGGGACAGAGGUUUGUUUUCUUUGGAUGGUGCGUGGUCUACACGUUUUUUGAUGACACUAUAAGUAUGAACUUUGUUGCAGCAUUCCUUGAGUUGUGGCUCGUAAUGACAUUCCUUGAGUUGUGACUCGGAAUGGAGGGUGAACACGUGGCGAUCUUAGGUUGUGGCAUGGUGAAUUGGUACCGGUGUGAGUGUGCGAGUUAUGACUCGUAUGGAUGGUCUCCACUUGAUUGGGCAAUCACGGGUUGUAGCCAUUGAUGUUGCUAAUCUUGUGUCAAGAGUACGAAUUAUGGUUUGUAUAGGGAACUCCACCUGGCGUUGUGGAUGGUGGUUCGUAACAUGAUAGACACGCACAAGUAUCUACGAGUUGUGUCUUGUAGAUGGUGGAACCACGAGUUGUGGCUUGUGGUAGUAAAUGACAUCUUAGGGUUAUCAACUAAGGAUGUAGAACGUGGAUGAGCAUGAUGGUGGCUAUGUUUUUUGGAUUGGAGAAUUGUGGUUCUCAGACAAAAGCAGAUGAUGUUGCAAGUAAUGUUGGUGAAGCAUAACGUCGAAGCGGGGCAGCAUAGGAGUUUGAUUAUUAUAUUUUGUAGCUACCUUUUUUGUAAACAUAUUUUAUUAUCAAUUUCGAAUAUGUAAACUUAGAGUUGAUUUUGAAGUUUGGAUUUUAGCGCUUAUAAUAAAGUUUGAACUUUCCCGCGUUUUG